AGGGCACCACCCGGCGCGGAGCCUGCGGCUUAAGGUCCCUCAAACCGGGAAAUCUCCCCCGGCCCGGACACCGACAGGAUUGACAGAUUGAGAGCUCUUUCUCGAUUCAAGGGGUGGUGGUGCAUGGCACCGGUUAGGAAGAGGAGCGAUUGGUGGGGAUAAUUCCUAACAGCAAGCACAGUUUCUCCUGCUAAGUAGGCCCCGGAACCUUUGUUGCGCUGGAAAUUCUUGCGCGAGGGACUGGCGCCGUCUCCCGAUCUCGAAAGAAACUCAACCCAUUUUGAUAUCCCCUGACAACUCCUUGGCGUUCACCUCCCAUCACACAAGGGAUCAACUCGUCUGACUUCCCCGCGACCAACAAGGUAAAGAACAGGGUGCAUCUGCCCGGCCAUCGCUACUGGUCCUUAUUCCCGCUGAACGGCGAUUGGUUAGUAAUUGCCAUUCAUAGGAUAAAAUAGGUUACCUUGCUGAACCUGCGGAAGGAUCACGGGCGAUUCUACCGACUGAAAAUUCAAUUCA
rnacentral:rRNA from 1 species